AGUGUGCGUUUCUCAAUUCACAGUGUGUGUGAACUUUACUUUACUUGAAUGGUGUUGAAAAACUGUUUGCAGCAGUGACUUUGUGUUACGGACAAAGAUUUUAGAAAAGGCUGUGGGCGGCAUGACGGCAAUCAACUUUGCGGAUCAACUUCCUUUUCGAUGACUUCCUAUGGAGUAAUGAGACUAUCCGGAAGGAAAUGUUGUUGUUGUUGUUGUUGUGUCGCGAUGAAGUCAUUUUACAAAGUCUUGCGCCUUGGAGUCCCGCACGUCUCGACGACGGCUGACCGUGUCACGUUAAAGUUUUCAAUUAUCCACAUCACAUUGAAACGUUACUGAACUAUAAGAUUUUCUGAUUUCCCUUUCACUCUCAGUCGACGAUAAGAAAUUGAGUCGUGAAUUCGUGACAAUUUGAAACAAAAAAAGCACAGUCUCAAGAGUCUCUGACGGGAAACAGCAAUUGCAAAUCAAAAUCAACUUUGAAUCAAUGGAGAGUCGAAAAAGCGGACUUGAAAGCGAGCCGAAGGCUGGCUGGCAACUGGCUCGAGUCUUUGGCAGUUGACCGGAAUUGACGACGACGACGACGAAGCAGAAGGCGCCAGGCACCACCACCACCACCAGGGAGCUCGAUAAAUGUGCUGCUGGCUCGGCCAGGUAGUCUGAGCUACACUGGGCAGAAAGUGAGAGACGCGAGGGAGCUAGCAGCCGACAGGAAAGAAAGAAAAAAAGGGAAAAGCGCCCACCGCACUCGACUGCAAUACCAAAGAGAGAGAAA